GAGGAAACUCUGAUGCAGCGACGCCGCGUGAACGAUGAAGGCCUUCGGGUCGUAAAGUUCUGUCCUGGGGGACGAUAAUGACGGUACCCCAGGAGGAAGCCCCGGCUAACUACGUGCCAGCAGCCGCGGUAAUACGUAGGGGGCGAGCGUUGUCCGGAAUUAUUGGGCGUAAAGGGUUCGUAGGCGGUUUUUUAAGUCAGAUGUGAAAGGUCACGGCUCAACCGUGGUAAGCAUUUGAAACUGAAAGACUUGAGUUAAGGAGAGGAAAGUGGAAUUCCUAGUGUAGCGGUGAAAUGCGUAGAUAUUAGGAGGAAUACCAGUGGCGAAGGCGACUUUCUGGACUUAUACUGACGCUGAGGAACGAAAGCGUGGGGAGCAAACAGGAUUAGAUACCCUGGUAGUCCACGCCGUAAACGAUGAGUGCUAGGUGUUGGGGGUCAAACCUCGGUGCCGCAGCUAACGCAUUAAGCACUCCGCCUGGGGAGUAC
rnacentral:rRNA from 1 species